UGCCAGACUCCUACGGGAGGCAGCAGUGGGGGAUAUUGCACAAUGGGGGGAACCCUGAUGCAGCGACGCCGCGUGGGUGAAGGAGCGUUUCGGCGCGUAAAGCCCUAUCGGCAGGGAAGAAGGAGGACGGUACCUGACUAAGAAGCCCCGGCUAACUACGUGCCAGCAGUCGCGGUAAUACGUAGGGGGCAAGCGUUAUCCGGAUUUACUGGGUGUAAAGGGAGCGUAGACGGCCAAGCAAGCCAGGGGUGAAAGCCCGGGGCCCAACCCCGGGACUGCCCUUGGAACUGCUUGGCUGGAGUGCGGGAGGGGCAGGCGGAAUUCCUGGUGUAGCGGUGAAAUGCGUAGAUAUCAGGAGGAACACCGGCGGCGAAGGCGGCCUGCUGGACCGUGACUGACGUUGAGGCUCGAGAGCGUGGGGAGCAAACAGGAUUAGAUACCCGAGUAA
rnacentral:rRNA from 1 species